CCUACGGGAGGCAGCAGUGUGGAAUAUUGGUCAAUGGGCGCGAGCCUGAUGCAGCCAAGUCGCGUGAAUGAUGACUGCCCUACGUGUUUUAAACUUCUUUUGUAACGGAAUAAAUUGCGGUACGUGUGCCUUUAUGUAUGUACUUUAUGAUUAAGGAUCGGCUAACUACGUGCCAGCAGCCACGGUAAUACGGAGGAGCCGAGCGUUAUCCGGAUUUAUUGGGUUUAAAGGGAGCGUAGAUGGGUUCGUAAGUCAGUUGUGAAAGUUUGAGGCUCAAACGUGAAAUUGCAAUUGAUACUGGCGGUCUUGAGUACAGGUGAGGUAAGCGGAAUUCGUGGUGUAGCGGUGAAAUGCGUAGAUAUCACGAAGAACUCCGAUUGCGAAGGCAGCUUACUAAACUGCAACUGACAUUGAUGCUCGAAAGUGUGGGUAUCAAACAGGAUUAGAUACCCCGGUAGUC
rnacentral:rRNA from 1 species